UAUAAAGCCGGAGCAAUCGCCUUUGUGGUUUAAAAGCCACAGGGGAGGAAAGUCCGAACACCCUUCCCGACUUAGUCGGGAUGUCAUGACCGUGGGUAACGCCCACCCUUCCCGACUUAGUCGGGAAGAGGGACAGUGCCACAGAGACAAUACUAGUGAGAAGGGCACCCGCCGAUUCGACGGGUUGCUCGUCCCGACUUAGUCGGGACUCGCAAAAGGUGAAAAGUGUACCGAUGUUUUUACUCUCGAGAUAAAAGCUACGGUGCUCGCCUCAUGGUGACAUGAGCGCGUGGUAAACCCGGUUUGGUGCAAGAGCAGCGUUCUCACGUUUGGUGGGUUCGAAAAGGUAGCUCGCAUGAGCUGCACAGCAAUGCGCAGCCAAGAUACAUGAUUGCGUCCCGACUAAGUCGGGAUACAGAAUUCGGCUUAUGAAGGCCUUAUAAGAG
rnacentral:RNase_P_RNA from 3 species